GUGGAUUAGAUACCCUGGUAGUCCACGCCGUAAACGAUGAGUGCUAGGUGUUAGGGGUUUCGAUACCCUUGGUGCCGAAGUUAACACAUUAAGCACUCCGCCUGGGGAGUACGGUCGCAAGACUGAAACUCAAAGGAAUUGACGGGGACCCGCACAAGCAGUGGAGUAUGUGGUUUAAUUCGAAGCAACGCGAAGAACCUUACCAGGUCUUGACAUCUGAAUGACCGGUGCAGAGAUGUGCCUUUUCUUCGGAACAUUCAAGACAGGUGGUGCACGGCUGUCGCCAACU
rnacentral:rRNA from 1 species